UUGCCCAACUCGGGCAAUGCUUUAAACAUGCUGCAAAUUAAGAAAAAUGUCAGUCAUGUGGUUGCAGCCAAGCAUGUCAUCCAAUAUGAGCCUUUCUUUGCUGAUAGUUUCCUGCAUGAAUUUAUCAUAAAAAGAGGAGCAUCAAGGCAAGUUUCAAUGCUAAAUAGGACUGCAUAGAACUUGACAGAAAAAACAGAAUUUCAACCCACCAUCUUUACUACUAACUACAGAUUAGUUCCAAGACUGAACUCAUAAGUAUUCUGUAGAAUUUCAACCUACUUAAACUAACAAGGGUGAUCCCAUUUCGAAAUUGA
rnacentral:lncRNA from 1 species